rnacentral:rRNA from 1 species
GUACACUCCUACGGGAGGCAGCAGUGGGGAAUAUUGGACAAUGGGCGCAAGCCUGAUCCAGCCAUGCCGCGUGAGUGAUGAAGGCCCUAGGGUUGUAAAGCUCUUUCACCGGCGAAGAUAAUGACGGUAACCGGAGAAGAAGCCCCGGCUAACUUCGUGCCAGCAGCCGCGGUAAUACGAAGGGGGCUAGCGUUGUUCGGAUUUACUGGGCGUAAAGCGCACGUAGGCGGACUAUUAAGUCAGGGGUGAAAUCCCGGGGCUCAACCCCGGAACUGCCUUUGAGACUGGUAGUCUUGAGUUCGAGAGAGGUGAGUGGAAUUCCGAGUGUAGAGGUGAAAUUCGUAGAUAUUCGGAGGAACACCAGUGGCGAAGGCGGCUCACUGGCUCGAUACUGACGCUGAGGUGCGAAAGCGUGGGGAGCAAACAGGAUUAGAAACCCCGGUAUCC